rnacentral:rRNA from 1 species
GUCCACGCCCUAACGAUGUCAACUGGUUGUUGGGAAUUCACUUUCUCAGUAACGAAGCUAACGCGUGAAGUUGACCGCCUGGGAGUACGGCCGCAAGGUUGAACUCAAAUGAAUUGACGGGACCCGCACAAGCGGUGGAUGAUGUGGUUUAAUUCGAUGCAACGCGAAACCUUACCCACCUUUGACAUGGCAGGAAGUUUCCAGAGAUGGAUUCGUGCCCGAAAGGGAACCUGCACACAGGUGCUGCAUGGCUGUCGU